rfam:Felis catus isolate Cinnamon breed Abyssinian chromosome B2, whole genome shotgun sequence.
GCCUGGGUGGCUUAGUCGGUUAAGUGUCUGACUUCGGCUCAGGUCAUGAUCUCACAGUUUGUGAGUUCGAACCCCACAUCGGGGUG